rfam:Oryza brachyantha chromosome 3, whole genome shotgun sequence.
UGGUAGCUAUGAUGUUGGCCCGGCUCACUCAGACGGCGCUGGUCUGACGCGUGCAUGCAUACAUACACGAUGCUUGCUAGCUCAGCUGUGUUUCUGAUUGAGCCGUGCCAAUAUCUUAGUGCUCUUU